CCAGUUAUCACAGCAGUGAAGACCAGCUCCCAUUAUGAGCCUCAUUGAUCUGCAGAAGAGACAAUAUGUGCUGGAUUACAGAUGGCGUAUACAGUCUCUUCAAAUAAAGAAGCUGCAAAGACAACACUCGGCACAUUCAGGUGAUGUUUGUACUGCAGGAGUUACAACACCCAGUAACAGAAGAUCAUCAACCUUUUUCCUAAUUUCUGCUUCUGUGUCUAAAGGAAAUGAACUAAAUUUGUUUCUGAUGCCAGAAGAGGAAGAAGAGCUAGUCUGGUUUUCAUCUGUAAGGUAAAUGCUCACACAGCCGCACACAUUUUUGUAUUUGCACCAACAAAUCAAAGUCAGAAAUAUGUUAUAAAAAUAUCAUAAGAUUUAAUAAAUGCAUCUGGGUUUGAUUUGCUACUGAGCGCACCAUCAGUUGAAUAUGAAAACCUCUAAUUAUAAGUGAGGAUCUGGUACUUUUUCAGAAAUUUAAAUCAUUAUUGGUGUAUUUAAAAUUAUGUCUGAAAAGGAAAAGUGAAGAAUUAUGUAUGUCUAGCUGGGGGUUAUUCAGAUCAAAGUCUAAACUACCAACCAAAGACGUGGAGAAGUUGGCGCAAAAAAAAAUGUUGAUUUAAAGAUAAUUUUAUUGAUUCAAAAUGUGUCUAUUUUUCCUUUUGUAGAACUCAAAAAUGAGUCCCUUUGUCUUAUUGUGGGAGGAACUAACAUCAAAUGUACAUAUUAUUUUACAAUGGCUUAACCCAUUUAAGCCCACCGGCGACACUAGUCAGUGAAGAGCAAUACAAAUUAGUUAUACCAAAAGAAAGAAUUACUUAAAGGGGACCUGCCACCAAAAUUUCAUACCCAUUUUUAUCAUUUUUUCAUAAUCCUUGAUGUCCUCUGAUAAUGUUUGCAACAUAAUUUUAGCUGAAAAGUUAUUUGAUGGUUUGUUUUAGUAUGCCUAAAAAACCUUACAGGAAAACCAACUGGUUUUGGCUCAUUAACAUUUAUGGUAAUGAGCUUUGCUCUGAUUGGAUCGCUGCUGUGAAGCCUGCUGUGCUCUGAUUGGCUCAGCAGUGGAGGUUCGGAUUUCGGUUUAUCCCUUGUUAUUAUGCUAAUGCUAAUAGCAUAUGCUAAUGUGUGCUAAAGUAAGGUACCCAGAUGUCUUUAAUGAUAUCCAGGGAUAUUCGAUGCGGCGGCGGCGGUGCAGGGGCUGCAGGGGCUGUGUGAUCACAGACAAAGUCUCGGUACUAUUUAGUAGCAGCGCAUGCCCCUUGUAAUAACCCCCGUAAGAACUGUUGUUCAGGACUGCUAACUUGUGCUUCCUACCUAUUCGGCUACUGUAAUAACCAUUGUUCGAGCCCACACGCAACAUUUUUGCUCUCAUUAAUGAAACGCUUAAAUCGGGGACAUUUUCGGGGACAGCUUUUGCCGGGGACAGGUCAUCCAAUACGGGGACUGUCCCCGGAAAUCGGGGACGUCUGGUCACCUUAUGCUAAAGGCUAAAAACGGCAGGUAUUAAACCAUAUAUUUUAGACCCCGAGUCCGAAGAGGAGGUGGAAGUUGAGGAAGAAGCCGGAGACCUCCAGCGGUGUUUUCUCAUUCAUUCUGCCCGACUUUAAGUUCAUUUUCCCGGCAGUGAACCGAAGUAAACACCGGUUGUUUGGAAGAGACCCAUAGCGGAUACAGUGGUAGCUGGGUCUCGCUCUGGCUGUGACUGAGUACGAGAACGAGAGAGUGGGCACGGCUCACCGAGGACGCGCUCGUGAAUAAUAAUGAGCAAGGUCGGCGCAACGUAACACCGACAGGCUUUUUCAAUUGGCCUGGUUUACUCGUUCCUUUAUUUUAAACCUUUACAGAAUGCAAACGACGUAACGGUUUGUUUUCACAUUUACAACAUAAGACGAACAUAAUAUGGACCUUAUCUGACACAAAAAAAAACAAAAAUUACAUUUUUAUGGCAGGUCCCCUUUAAAGAAAAUUAUACUUAAAAGUAAUACAUGAUUAAAAUAAAACAUUUAGCAUAUUCAUUGCAAUAGGCAUGAAAAAAGCUUUGGCAUCUUUCUGAAUCAGCGUCCAAAGGGAAGAAGGUGAAACUCCAAAAAAAGAAAGGUCAGAUCAUGGCAGAUAGUCUCUGCUUAGCAUAUUUAAUGACAAAAAUAGCAAAGUUUCAUUAAAAUGUAUUCAUAUAUCAUCACAGAUUACUUUAGGUUUUGGAGUAUUGGAUCCAGACCAAAAAAAUCAUGUCUCUGUGUUAUUCCCAAAUGGAUGAAAGAAUACCACCUACAGCUCAACUUCAGUCUAAGACUGAGCUCCUUGUCAUUCCAGCCAGUCCUUCCUUACAACCACAGAUUACGUUUCAGAUCCAGUUUAGAUCAAAUUAACUUGUGCCCAAUUAGUCUACUUAGAAUCUGGAUGUCAUGAUUGAUGACCAACUAUCCUUCAAGGCUUAUGUCUCGACCCUGCCAGUUCACUCUCUAUAACAUUAGAAGGAUCAGGCCCUACUUGGCAGAGCACACAACACAGCUCCUUGUCCAGGGUCUUAUACAGUAAUUGUAUGCAUUGACUACUGCAACUCCUUACUGGCAGGCCUCACUGAAUGCACAGUCAAACCUCUGCAGAUGAUCCAAAAUGCAGCUGCCAGUCUGGUUUUCAACCAACCCAAAACAACAUUUCACUCUGCCGUUCAUCUUUCUUGAACCACUUCUUGCUGACAAAACUGCAACUUAACCAGCUCCCACAGGUCUGCACUCCCUCUGCAAGCUACACUCUUCCAAUGAAAGGCGCCUGAUGCCCCCAUCACGACAAAGCCUGAAGUCACUACCCAGACUGUUUUCCUCUAUCAGCACUUCAAAACCCUAUUAGAUCUGUGGAGACCCUUUCUACCUUAAAGAUAAAGCCCAAGACUCAGCUCUUUACAAUACAACACAAUACAACAACUGUAUUUAUCCCACAAGUGAAAUUCAUUUGUCUGGAAUCUCAUGAUUUUUUCUUCUCUGGAAGGAUAGUUAAACUGUGUAAAUCAAGUCAGAUGAGAAGAGAGGGGAACAUGGUUAAAAUCUCCUGGUACAAGUGCCUUAGGAUGCUGAAUCUGUAUCCUAGCAACAGUAACAUGGAGAAUACAUGUAGUAUUGUUAUGAUAUGGCUGAACUCCCUUGGAACAAAAUAUGAAUGAGGAGGAACUACCAACAGUUCAAUAUCUGGAGAUCACAUCCUUCUUCUUUAGGUGUUAAGAGUUACACCAUCUUUGGUUGACAAAUAAAGCCAGACCUUCUCCUUUCUUCUUGCCACUAACUUUAGUAUCUCUGUCUGACCUUAUGAGAGUGAAGCCAGGUACAUCCACACUGGAGUCCGAGUUGCUUUGAUUCUACCAGGUUUCAGUAAAACACAGGAGACUGCACGCACGGUAUGCUUCCUCAGUCUUAAUCAAUAUAGCCAGCCCGUUGCUUUUGUUGGGCAGAGAGUUGAUGGAAGAAAGGGUAUAUAUCUCCACUUCCUAGCCUUCAACUUUGCCCUCAUCUGUGCACCAGCACGGCAACCACAAUAACACCUCCUGAUGCCCUCUGGAAUUGGAUGUUGUCAUCCACAUUUGCUCUGUCUCAAUGAAAGAAGAUCUUCUCUUGAGCAAACUCCUCUCCCAAUAGUAAUAUCCAUCAGCAGCCAUUAAAACUACAAAAAAAAUAGAGCAAAAAGUGCAGAAAGCUCAGCUCUUCUCAUCUGUUGUCCCCAGUGAUAGAAUGACUGAAACAAAUGAUUUAAACAGUCCCCUUCUACUUCUUGAUCCACUUUUUGAUCCGUCUCUGAAUAGCUCUGGACUUAGUGUACCGAAUAAUGAUAAUAAUGAUAUUAAUGAUAAUGGUGGUACGAUUAUAGUGAUGACAAUGAGGAUGUUACAGUGCCAUUGUGACUGUAUAUGGAAGGUGCCUCACUUUAGUUGAUGAUGACGAUGAUGACGAUGAUGAUGGUGGUGAUGAUAAUGAUGAUGAUGGUGGUGAUGAUGAUGAUGAUGAUUUGAUACCCAAAAAGAAAAAGGUGAGUUACCUUAUACACUGCAUGACAGCAGUACUUGAUGCAGUUUGAAGCACUUCAUGCUGUUUCCUUCUGUCUAGAUCUUUGAUUGUGUUGUUCUUAUUCAUAAAUUUAAGCUUUUUUUUCUCUUCCUUUUUUUUUUCACUUUACAGAGCCAUCUCUGCAAAAUAACCUGAGCUUAGAGACACAUAUACAUGUAGUGUUUCACUAACUGUGUUGUUUAGGGUCGACCAAGGUCAUAUAUUUUUUUAUGUUAUGUUGUUCAUGCAGUGUGUUCUUACAUCUCUGUUUUAAUAGAGAUGUCAGCCAAAAUUCCUGCAUAAAUAAAUAUUAACUAAUUAACGUAUCUCUUUCCAUUUGCCUGAAGAGCUCUUGCUUUUAAUUAGAAGAGAUGAGGAUAGCGUUUCCUUGUACCAUCACUUUUAAUGAUAAAGAACAGCUUCACUAAGUUUAAGAUCCAUCACAUUCUGUCAUUUUUUUCUCUUUGUUUAUGCUUAAGGAUUUUUUUUUCGUCCCGAAUAGCAGCUGUAAAGUAUGCACUUUAUGAACUGUACUGAUAAAACAUUAAAUCCACACAUGGUUCUAAUCAAAUGUAAACGCUCAGUGUGUUGAGGCGGGGAUCACAUAUGAAAUCCAGGCCAAGUUUUGGACUGACUCCCCUCUUCCACCAAAAGUCAGCAAAGGCCUGAUUAACACAGAUAUACUCAUCCUCCUAUACCCUUCUGACUACGCCCUAUCAUUCUACUGCCCUGUGCCCUGGCAGCUUGAGCUGCAUGCUCUAGCUCCACCAUGGAAAUACACUCUACCGCUCGUCUACUGAUUUAGGGAAUAUGCUCUACCUCCCCAACCCUACUUAUUCAGUCUGUAUGCUCUGCCUUCUCUAUCACACCGAUUCAGUCCAAGCGCACUACACCCUACCCUGCUAAUUUAGGGUUAAUACUCUACCUCCUCUCCCCUGCUGAUUAAGGAUGUUAGCUGUUCCUCCCCUUCCUAACCAAUAAAGUCCAUAUGCCUGCUUUGCUAAUCAAGUCUGUGUGCUCAAACUCCUCCACCUGCUGAUAUUAGCUCAAGGCUUUAAGUUUCAUACACCACCAGUUCGAGCUGUACACUCGACCUCCCCUACUUUUCCAAUACACCCCAGAUCAGUGUUUGAAUCUGACUGAGUGAAAACUGCUUUGCUGCUGUAAACACUGCUCUGUUUGCUUUCUCUUGUCCUGCUUUCUUGCACUUCUACUCCAUCUUGGCUCUGGUAUUCUGGAGUCCUCUGCAGCAGAUACACAUGGCCUUAACUUUUACCAGUGCCAGGCCACAAAGCAUCAAUCAGCACAGGGCAGAUCUUGGGAGACAAAAAGUCAGACAGUGACACAACAUUAAACAUUUGGUUAAUUUCCUAAAUAAAAUGCUGCAUAGCCACAUAACUACUAAAACCCAUUAUUGUGAGCAAAGCCACAUGUGACAUCAACAGGUCAGAGGUUUUACAGAGCUCAUUGUGAAGGUAGAAAAACAUAAUUUGACACAGGAAAGCUUUGGUCUUGUGACUUCCACUGUCAGCCUUUCAGUGUUGACGGACAAGGGGUCAUAAAGGCAAACCAGUUUGAAGCUGAGACAAACUGAAUAUUGGUCUGGCUGGCAAUAGACUCUACCACCUCAUACUCUGCUUUAUGGCGAAUGAGAAAAAAAAAAAGAGAGAUCACAAGUAUGAAAGAAAAGGUAAAAAAAUAAAAAGUUAAAUUCUUGUUUAAUUUGAAUUCAAGGCAGAGAGAGGGAUGCAGACUUCUUUGUAUAACCUUUUAUCAGACAAUGAAAAGCAAUAAAACCCAGCGUAAAAACACCUCUCAGUACUGAGUGUACCAGUUUUGACACAAAGACAGACAGUAAUGUUCACAGCCUCUUAGAUUUCCAUCUCGAUUCAUGUAGCUUGAAUUAUUCGUGCCCUUCAAAUGCCAAACACCUCCCUGCGAUGCGAGGCUUCAGCCUUCAUUCACUUGCUCUACCUGCAAAUCACCACGCUGUCACACCUGAAACCAUGGCAACAGGCAUCACAGUCUCCAAAUGCACUCAGGCGUACAAACAUAUGAGACUUAUCAUGAUGCAUUUGCCUGCAUAUUAACAUUCCUUUAUUUUAGGAUUAGUCAGUGCUGCAGGUAGAAAUAACACAGGCGGAGUAACCUGCUGUAUUCACAACAGGGGAGGCUGAAGGAUUGUUUAUGAUGCACCAAUACUGCCUGAUAUACAGGUACGGCUGACUGUUUUUCCAGCUUAUCAUCAAUAAUGAAAGCAAAUGCUAUGUCUUAUAUGACCAUAAAUCACAGACAAGAAAAAGAUCAGACUUAAAGUAGCUAAUAAAAACAAAUCUGAGAAUGGCCUUGUAAAGCUCCAAACCCACAGGAUGUGUGUUGGGCGUGUCCUGUUACCGUGCUUGGAGCAGAGUAGCAGCUUGGCCCAGCUCUGUGCAGCUGGACUCCGUUUACAAAAAACAAUGUGCUCAUAAUUAGUUGCUUUGCCUUCCUGUGGUCGAUUCCCUGCUAAUUUGAAUAUAAUUCUGGGAAUGUUGUGUUUCUACCGAAUAUGAACAAGCAAUGUGAUUUUAAAGUUUGGAUUUUUGCAGUUUUAGCUAUGUUAGGUAUGUUCCACUUUGCUGUGCUGUUCCCUUCAGAGAGAGUUCCCAGUUAGAAGUCCUGUUGUGGUCCACAUGAAUCAGAAAUUGACACUGGGGUUGUUCGAUAGACUGUAUAUAGAAUGGAUGCCAUCUGCCUCCUCGCUGGGUCUAGCCACUCUGAGAACAGCACACUCUGGUGACGGGCUGCAGUAUAGGUCAUAAAUCCCGCCUCCUCCAGCAAAGUUUAUGGAGCUGUGGACAAACUUUAGAAAUUAAUUACACAGAAUAUAAAUGUUUCUCCCACCUGGUGCGAUGUUGACAUGUGGUUACUGUAAGACUGAUUUGUGCUCAAAUCCUCGUUUUUCUGUACAGCUCCAUUUUUAAGUUAUUAGGGGUUCAUGUUUUCUAUGAUUGUGGUAUAUUUCAUAGAUACAAAGGUGCAAAAAUGAACUACACAAAGACAGAAUCAAGCUGGCAGCCUCUCGCGGGAUUUGAUUUUAGUUACAGCAUCAAACACAGCUCAUGACAAUCAGACGGACAAUGCUAUUGCGCAAGUGAUUACGUGCAAUGUUGGUUUCAGGAAAUGGAGAAAAGUCGCGGAAAUGCAGAGAGGUUUUCAGCUUCAAAUCCAUAUACUGGCGAAAGGUGGAACCAAGUUGUCCAUAGUAUAUACAGUCUAUGGGUUGUUCUGUGUUAAUAAAUCCAGAACCAGGAAGUUUUUCUCAUCUACACGAUCUAAUAAACAGUCUGGAGUCCUACAAUGGUGCGACACAUACUGUGUGCAAUGCUGCAUUGAUAAGAAUGAAAAUGUAUUUACUGCGUAGCACCCAACUUUAAUGAAAAACACCCGACAUGAAUCCUGUGGGUUUUAGGCUCAAAACUGUACUGCUGCAACCAAACCAUACUUGCACAGAAAAAAAUACAUGAGCUUCAUUGGGUUUAUGUUGUCCACAACUUCUUACUUGUGUUAAAUACUGGAUUCUGAUUGGUCGAAACCCCAUAACAACUAUGAAUAAUUCAAGGAACAAAGAAGUGACACUCGGGACAUCCCGAUCACAUACCUCUAAUCUCACCCUGUCUUGACCUUGUUGCAUUUUCUUGUUGGACUGCCUGAUCCCUCACAGUAUUGUGGUUUGUUUGUGAAUCUAUAAUUGACUCACUGUGCUAUAACAGUUUUAAGAUUAGAUGAAGUGCCAACAAAUUAGGUAUGGUUUUAUUAUUUGAUGUCAACGAUUUUACGUUCAUGAGAAAACUUUUGAUAGGAUUAUUCAAAUGUGAUCCUGCAGAUCAUUCUUUGAGUUUUUGUUUCAGUGCAAUAUGAAUUAAACAUCACAGGUGAUAACAUUAAUAUGCUCUGGGUGCAUUAGCAAUCCCACGUUUGCUGUCCUCUGUUGAAUCAUUUUUUCAUUGUUACUACACUCCUUCACGGAGGAGAGAAAGACUUACAUUAAACAGGAAAAAAUACCUUCAGAGUACAUCUUACAGCCUGAUCCAUCCUCCACAGCCUCACAAGACUAAUUUGGAUUCAGUAAUAAUUCAAAAUGCCACUAAAUGACUCAUACAAUGUGAGCGCGGGACAGUAUUGACAAGGGGAAUGUUUAAUUAUGAUAAGCAAGGAAAAUCAAAUUCAUCAUUUAAGAAUUUUAAUUGAUUAAUUCAAAUCAUUUUCCCCUUUACUGCUGCAGAUAGGGAGCGGAUGCCGAAAGGAAUAUGAGGAGAAUUAUGAAAUGAAGCCUGUGCAUUUGAAAUGAAUGAUGUAUUAGUUUAGGGGAGAUUGGAAAGACUCUUUUGUCCGCACAGCCACAGUUACCAGCAGUGAUUACACAACCAUUUUACUGACAAUCCAUCCUCCUCCAUUCAAAGUGCACCGUUGAUUAUGCAUUUUUAGUAUUUUAUCGUCGUUAUGAAAGGUUCUUGAGUUUAAUUCACAGGCUGCAGAUCAUUCUCAUUAACACAUACAUCAUAAAAAAUAUAUAACAUAUGAUUGUCAAACCCUUUUCCGAACAUUUCUCUGAGAUUUCCUCAUUAUUAUUCAUGAUUAUCGAAGCUCAGAUUCCCAAGAGUAAACCCUCAUUAAAACACCAACACUGAUGGGAAUUCAAAGACAGAGAAGGAGUAGCUGCUGAGUCUGUUCGGUCUUUGCACUCAUUUUAUUUUGGGCAUAAUCUCUGUUUUUUUAUGCACCAGUUUAUGACAAAUGUUACGUUUCAACAAUGUGCUCUGUUCUUUUAUCAGAGAUAUUUUAAAUACUCUGUCAGUUUUAAUGAAAGCACAUGCCUUGGAUUAUAAAUUGGUCUUCAGUCCGGAAGCCUGGAACUACCAAUGUUUGGUUAAAAGCUGGCCCAAAUUGAGUGUGUUUACAUGAUCAAAACUCAUCAGAUAACAAGCAAAAAUCUGUGUUUGGCAUAGAUUUUAGGGAGCUUAGGGAGGGGAGGUCUGAAGAUUCACCAGAAGAAUAGUGUUUUUUUAUUUUUAUUUCUUCCGCAAAGAUGGAUGUGUUCAGGCUGUGACCCCUCAGAAGCACAGGGAAUAUUGUUCAGUCAUGUACGGCUGAGCUAGAGCAGUUUCAUAUUUGAUAGGGAAACAUUAUGGGCUCUAUUUUCGUGCGCGCCGGUGAGGCGGCGGAAGGCGGCGAGCCCCGCGCAGUUGUAUUUUCGUCUGGCGGAGCCCGGCGUAAGGCCAGUGUGGUAUUUUCGUGGACUGAGCCGCACGGAGGCGAGCCGAGAUCCGCCAAGCUGGGCGUGGUGGCGUGGCAGGGGGAGGUGUCGACAGAAUCAGCUGGCGCAGUGACAUUUUCGUGCUUGCCACCGGCGUGUAAAGUGCGCUGAAAGCUCGCCGAUUCAAACCUGGACAGCUUUCAGCGCAUGGCGGAGCGCAGCUGGUCUAGUGGUAUUUUGGUAGACCAGCGGCGUAUCGACAUACGUCACUGAUGCCUCACCGGCAGGUUUCCACAGUGUCAGACACAUUUCAGUGCAAUAAAUAAUCAUCAACAACUAUUAAUCUGAGUCAGCACAUACAUUUAGAUCUAUAUAGAUAUAUUCUGAUCUAUAUGUGAUCUGAUGAGCGCGUUUGGCACGCGUUUGGACACACAACCUGACCGAAUCAACACAGCUGAAACCGCAUCAAAUUAAAUUAAAUAUCUAGUAAAUAAACACACAUGAUGAAGUUAACAAGAUAUGUAAUGUGUCUCCCUCCUUUUCUUUCUUCCUCUUCCUCUUAUUUCUCGCACAGCUCGACCUGGACAUGUCUCCGUGUCCUCUGUCCGUCUUGCUGCUGCUGCGGCUGAACAGAUGAUUUGUUUCAGUGCUCAGAUGCGUGAUCUACUUUAAGCCGACAUACGGAUAUUAUAAUAUUCAGUUUUGUGGGCCAAAUUUAUUUUAUAUGCCAACAUCUAUGAAAGACAGAGCCAGGCCACGGAGCGCGAUGCGUCAUUUACGCACAGAUGGUUCCGAUUUUAAUGCCAUUUUUGGAGUUUAUGUUGUGAUCUGUGCGCUCAACCCACCUUUGUCACGUGAGGUUUGAAUAUAUGCAACUUUAUUUGAGUGUCUUUAUUUGUGGAAAAGGGUGUUUGUCUUACCAGUGGGUCCAACAUUACACACACCAAAUCCAUCUGCGCUUAUAUGAGAGGGUGUGGAGGACACUUGUUGAGGAGCUGCCCUCUGUCGCCAUCUUGUGGCAUUACUGUCUUCAGACAUCUCUUGAUCUCUUUGACUACUUCAUGAAAAUAGUAAUACGCCUCGCCUGUGGCAGAUUUAAAGGCAAGGAGAGGAGCUUAUGUGAUUGGUGAAAACAGGUCUCGGCUGUGUUAAACCCACUACACGCCCUCUCUCCUCCCCAUCUACGACUUAUGGUGCUGGGAGGAGCUGAGUUAGGGAGGGGGGAUACUUACGCCGGGCUGCGCGGCUCACCAAAAUACCAAAAUGUGCUUGGGAACGCCUUGUCAGCGCGGCGGAUCUGACUGACGCUGCGCUUGCGGCACGUCUCGAGGCACCAAAAUAGAGCCCUAUAAGGAACCAUGCUGACCACACCCUCUGAUGAAACUCAAAGUGUUUUGUGCACAUCAAGAGCAACAUCUUAAAAUAUGUUACCAAAAAAAAAAAAUGAUGCAGAUAUGUUUGAUGGUCUCAGAGAUUUAGUUAAUAGAAUACUGCAAGAUGUUUCCUCCCUCUUUCCAAGAUGCGCUGUAACUGUGAUGAAAUAUGACCAUAUAGAUGUGUUAAGGUGUUGACCACCAUCAUGCAGGGUGAGUUUGGGUCAGAUUGGAGCAUGCAUGGCAAAGAAAAAUACUACUUCCUGCCUGAUGACAAAACACCGGAUUUUAAGUCUUUGGGAACCACGUGUAAGAAAAGUCAGCUUUCUAGGUGAAACUGCUGGGAGAGGCAGUAUUUUCAAAAAUUACAGGGGGCACUAGUGAGUCAAUUAUCCCUGUCCAAUUUUUAAAACCUAUAAAAUGUAACAAUUUUUUCCUAGACCCAAUAGAUGUGCAUACUUUUAUGAGUUGUUAAGCAUGUGAAGGCCCUCAAAACUGCCACGAAAGACACAGAAUCAAAGUUAUUUUAUUCAGGUCCUCACACCUACUUGGUGCUCUGGUACAAUAAUAAUAAUAAACCUUAUGCAUACGGCAAAAUUGGUUUACAAAGUGUUUGAAAUGUCAAAAGAAAAGAAUAGACAAAUGUGGGAGUACAAUUUCCAAAAUUGUAAAAGUUUUGACAAUGAUGAUUCAAGAUCGGAGGUAUGAGUCAUAGACAGAUAGAUGGAAAGGGUAAGAAAAUGAAAUGAUCAGAAGAUUGUAAAAAAUCACAAUAUUUCAACUUUCCUAGAUUUAGUAGCGAAAAAAUAUAUAUGUAUAUAUAUAUAUAUAUUUGUUAACUACUGAUGCAUUGACAAAAAUGUCCAUGUCCUUAACAGUUUAUCUGUUUACUCUGUUUAAACUUAAAGCUGUCUUUAAUCAUUGAUUAUAGAGCAGACUAAAAUAAACAGAAAUGUUCGUCUGUAAUGCAGAAAAGUAAAUGAUACAAAUAACAAUUACUGUUUUAUAAAUUUCAGUACCUUAAACUUCUAUGAGGGCGCAGGUGAGCUAAAUAAACAUCAUGUUUCACUGUUAGACAUUCUUAGUGAGUGACACAUUUCUCUGUGAAAAGACACAAGGAGGAGAUUUUUGUCAAUUAACACAACUUUCACAUGGUUGAAAUGAAACCAGCAUGAUUAAAAAAGUACUAGUUUGUCCACAGGGGGCACUAGAGUCAACCUGGAAAGUUCCUCACAAGAGCUGUAAAAGAAUGACAUGAUUGUUGUAGCCUAGCCAGUCAGGCAGUCUGUCCCUCCUCCUGCCGUGACAGAGAAGAUCCCAACACAAAGAUUUAAUCCAUGAAGAUUGACUAAUCUCUUCAAAUCUACAGGCCGUAUCUUGGGUUGAUCUAUCUUCUCAUCUUCCCAGUUUGGAUCCUUCUUCUUUCUUGGGUAAACAGAUGAUUCUAGAGGUUCGGCCCUAAGAGCCAAGGCAUUCAUGACCAACAGGAACUCCCCACGAUAUUGAAGACAACUGACUGUCUGCUGCAACCCAGCUGUGAAAUCAGGUAAGGCUAAAAUGACAGAAGUAAUUGCUUUUGAUAACUGUAAUCUAAGUCCAUAUCCCUCAUUUUAUUAGGAGUGUCUACAAUGUUGUUUGACAUUUCUUUCUUCUUCUUUUUCUCUGUCCAUUUCCACCCCUGCUGGCAUUCUUCACUCAUGCAGAUGUAACAGAAAACAAGAAACCAGAUUUUGCUUAACACAGGCAACUAAUGAAUCACAUUUUGGGGUAAAAACCUAGGUGUGUUCAGAUUUAUAUUAAUCUGUGGAUGAUUUUUCUUCUAUGAUGUCAGAUCACUCUGCGUACAUGACUUCAGUGAUCAGG